rnacentral:pre_miRNA from 1 species
GGGGGGAGGCCGGAUCCUGGGCUGUGUCCCGGCGCCCUGUGCUCCUGGUCUGCGCUGUUGGAUUCGCGCUCCCGGGCCGCGCAGCCCCCU